AUCCAGCUGACGAGUCCCAAAUAGCACGAAAUGUGCGUCCUGGAU
rfam:Schistosoma curassoni strain Dakar, Senegal genome assembly, scaffold: SCTD_scaffold0019167